CAUAUUCUAAAACCAAAAUUAAAGACCCCCCAUUCUCAUUUGCCGAAAUUGAAAAGAAAAUAAAUGAGCUUUCACCCUUCUUCCAUUUGCUAGGGCCGGUGACCACGCCCAUCAUCGCAACUCUUCCACACAUGCGCGCCGCGACGGCGGCCGGAGAGAGAGCCAGGUGUAAUCGCAGAUAUCUCAAAGGUAGACGAGCGCAUGAUUCGGAGAUGCGAGACGUGCGGCACUCGGACUCGGGGCUUGCGGCGCUGAGAAGUGGGGCUAGGGUUUUGCUUCCUCCUUUUUCUUUUGUGUUCUGUUAGAUCUUGGGUAAUGGGCUGGUAUUGGGUUUAAUUGUUUGGGUCUGUGUUUUAGAUGUAAAUGAGUCUUGGGCCAGGUAAAAUUAGGUCCAACACCUAAUAAUAUUAGCAAUUAACUUUUAUUAAAACAAUCAUAAAA